UGCUCUCCUCCAGAACAAGUUCCAAGACAGUAUAGGUUCCACUGUAUUCAAAUAAGGCUGAAAUAAGAAACUUUCCUCGGCCUGGUGAUACUGUUCCAAGGCCUGGUCCACAGUCACCUGGAUGGAAUCUUGCACUACACUGUGGCUCUCCAUGAGGAUGGCACUGAGAUGAACGUAUUGUCACUACCUGAGAUGCUGCAGGCCUUCAGAGUCAAGAUAAGCAGAGAUGUAUAAACUAUCACAGUACUU